rnacentral:rRNA from 1 species
AAUCAACGCUGGCGGCGUGCCUCAGACAUGCAAGUCGAACGAUUAAAGCUCUCUUCGGAGAGUGCAUAGAGUGGCGCACGGGUGAGUAACACGUAAGUAAUCUACCUUCGAGUGGGGAAUAACGUCCGGAAACGGACGCUAAUACCGCAUAAUGCAGCGGCAUCGCAAGAUGACAGUUGUUAAAGAUUUAUCGCUUGAAGAGGAGCUUGCGGCAGAUUAGCUAGUUGGUAAGGUAAUGGCUUACCAAGGCUACGAUCUGUAACCGGUCUAAGAGGACGGUCGGUCACACUGACACUGAAUAACGGGUCAGACUCCUACGGGAGGCAGCAGUCGGGAAUUUUGGGCAAUGGGCGAAAGCCUGACCCAG